rnacentral:rRNA from 1 species
CUACGGGCGGCAGCAGUGGGGAAUAUUGCACAAUGGGCGCAAGCCUGAUGCAGCCAUGCCGCGUGUAUGAAGAAGGCCUUCGGGUUGUAAAGUACUUUCAGCGGGGAGGAAGGGAGUAAAGUUAAUACCUUUGCUCAUUGACGUUACCCGCAGAAGAAGCACCGGCUAACUCCGUGCCAGCAGCCGCGGUAAUACGGAGGGUGCAAGCGUUAAUCGGAAUGACUGGGCGUAAAGCGCACGCAGGCGGUUUGUUAAGUCAGAUGUGAAAUCCCCGGGCUCAACCUGGGAACUGCAUCUGAUACUGGCAAGCUUGAGUCUCGUAGAGGGGGGUAGAAUUCCAGGUGUAGCGGUGAAAUGCGUAGAGAUCUGGAGGAAUACCGGUGGCGAAGGCGGCCCCCUGGACGAAGACUGACGCUCAGGUGCGAAAGCGUGGGGAGCAAACAGGAUUAGAUACCCCGGUAAUC